rnacentral:rRNA from 1 species
GACGAACGCUGGCGGCGUGCCUAACACAUGCAAGUCGAGCGGAGAAAGUUCUUCGGAACUUUCUUAGCGGCGGACGGGUGAGUAACACGUGGGUAACCUGCCUUAUAGAGGGGGAUAGCCUUCCGAAAGGAAGAUUAAUACCGCAUAAUAUUUUUGUUUCGCAUGAAAUGAAAAUCAAAGGAGCAAUCCGCUAUGAGAUGGACCCGCGGCGCAUUAGCUAGUUGGUGAGGUAACGGCUCACCAAGGCGACGAUGCGUAGCCGACUUGAGAGGGUGAUCGGCCACAUUGGAACUGAGAUACGGUCCAGACUCCUACGGGAGGCAGCAGUGGGGAAUAUUGCACAAUGGGGGAAACCCUGAUGCAGCAACGCCGCGUGAGUGAUGAAGGCCUUCGGGUUGUAAAGCUCUGUCUUCGGGGACGAUAAUGACGGUACCCGAGGAGGAAGCCACGGCUAACUACGUGCCAGCCGCCGCAGUAAUAC